rnacentral:misc_RNA from 1 species
AACUUUUGACAAUGGAUCUCUUGGCUCUCGCAUCGAUGAAGAACGCAGCGAAAUGCGAUAAGUAAUGUGAAUUGCAGAAUUCAAUGAAUCAUCGAAUCUUUGAACGCACUUUGCGCUCUUUGGUAUUUCGAGGAGCACGCCUGUUCGAGGGUCGUGAAGUUCUCAAGCUAUAGAUGCUUUUUGUUUGACAAAUAUGCUCUCUUAGCUCGGUAUUGGGCUUUGCCGUGUCCCUUCUUGGAACGGCUGGUCUUAAAUGCAUUAGCUUGGCCCCUCAUCUGGCAUUGGUUCUACUCAGUGUGAUAAUAAUCUGACCGCUGAGGACAUCUUUUGGGAUGGCCAAUUCUUGUUGGGGUUGCUUUCUAAUCUGGUUUACUGGAUUCUUGAAAUCCGGUGCCACUUUCAAUUUUGACCUCGAAUCAGGUGGGACUACCCGCUGAACUUAAGCAUAUCAAUAAGCGGAGGCU